rnacentral:rRNA from 1 species
UUCCGGNUGAUCCNGCCGGAGGNUACUGCUUUCGAGGUUCGACUAAGCCAUGCAAGUCAUAUGUUCCUCGUGAACAUGGCAUACUGCUCAGUAACACGUGGAUAACCUGCCCUUGGGUCUGGGAUAACCCCGGGAAACUGGGGAUAAUACCGGAUAACGCAUAUGUGCUGGAAUGCUUUAUGCGUAAAAUGGAUUCGUCCGCCCAAGGAUGGGUCUGCGGCCUAUCAGGUAGUAGUGGGUGUAAUGUACCUACUAGCCAACAACGGGUACGGGUUGUGAGAGCAAGAGCCCGGAGAUGGAUUCUGAGACAUGAAUCCAGGCCCUACGGGGCGCAGCAGGCGCGAAAACUUUACAAUGCGGGAAACCGUGAUAAGGGAACACCGAGUGCCAGCAUCAUAUGCUGGCUGUCCAGAUGUGUAAACUACAUCUGUUAGCAAGGGCCGGGCAAGACCGGUGCCAGCCGCCGCGGUAACACCGGCGGCCCGAGUGGUGACCGUUAUUAUUGGGUCUAAAGGGUCCGU